ensembl:lncRNA
CAAGAGGCCACGAUUUACAUCUGACGCAAAAUAACAAAGUAGCUUGCAAAAACAAAGACGCGCCACUAAUUAGGUCUACUCGGGUCCAAUGAAGCCUCUUCAGUGCGGUGACGUUGGUGUUUUUUUUAGCUCAAAAAAAGCUGUUGUGUGGUGAGAGUUUUGGCGCCAUGCAUCACACAAGUGGGUGCUACACAUUGGUUGGUGGUUAGCGAGGCACCCCUUCAAUGUAAAGCGCUUUGGGUACCUUGAAAAGCGCUAUAUAAAGGACUCAGUGGUAAAACGAGAGGGUGAAGGCGUGUGGUAGGAUGGUAGGGGAGCUAAGGACGACCACCACCACUGUGAAAUGAAGGUCAGCACACAAGAAACCUAAUCCCAUUGGGGUACAGCCUGGAUGCAGAGGGUACCCCUUUUCCUCUGUUCAAGAGACCGAUAUGAGGUGAAAACAAGUACUGAAGAAAGAUCCCCAGAGAUGUCAUGGAGGCACAGGGCCACUAAACAGAUAGCCACUUCCCACACCACGGCUCUAUACCAGGCCUCAGA